CACGGACGACGCAGGAACGUCACGCCUCAUGUCAGCCGUCGAAUUUAGUUUACACAAAUAAAAAAUGUUUCUUAGUUUGCCUAUGUAGUGAUAUUUAAACAAAAAUGGCGAAUUCCAGCGAUUUCUAGUUCCGAAAACCAGUCGGGCCAUUCAAUUACAAUGUGAAAUCGCGUAGACACGUUUUUAAUUUGGUAAAGAACAGUUCGUUGUCGUAUGGGCGGGUUCGGAAACGGUGGAUGAUGUCGAUACUCUCUUGUUUAUUGCCAAUGUGUGUUACUUGCAUUUAGAUGCAGGAUUCGCUUAAUUAGUGCAAAUUAAUUUGACCGCGUUUAAUUAUUACUCAUAAUGUAACUUAUCAAUUGUGGUCGGCGCUCUCUUUCUCUCUCAGUUUUUUCCUGGUUUUCAUUUGAAGAAGCAACAUGUGACCCCAAUUUGACAUUUAUGCCCUGUGUAUCAACCCCUGUCUGCUUUGUGCAAUUAUGUACUGGAUUUAGUGUUCACUUUUUUACAAUCAAAUGUAACAAUUCAGUGGAGUGUUCCUAGUUGUGAACGGUUUUGCUCCACACCAUCUGGCGAUUUGUCACUUAGAAAAUAAACAACUCCCAAUUUGGAGAAUGAACCGAAACCCUAGUUUAGUGAAAUUGGCAUUGAUCAGACUAAUUUGGUGAAAAGGUUACUCUGCAAGCCAUAAUGGAAAAUAAUAGAUAUAUUUUACAAGUGUAUGUGGGGGCUUUAAGUAGCCUCUAUGAGGCACUCUCUGUUGAAGCCAGCAAGCAGACUACUUCAGAAGAGAUAGUCUCUUGUAUUGUCGAAAGACUCUCUUUAAACGAAAAUGCCUCUUAUGAACUGGCUGAGGUUAUUGGGGAUGAUUUUGGUCAGGAGUGUAAAGAACGGAGUCUUUCGAGUCAGGAAAGCCCGGUUCAAUUAAUGAUGCUCUGGCCAAAACAUAGGCCAGAUAAUACAUCUUAUAGAUUCUACCUUAGAGAAAAAGUAGUGGACUACACGUGGCGAGCGCGAUUUGUUAUGGAUCCCCAACUAAUUAAAGACUAUUUUCAUAGGUUUUUAUAUCAGCCGAAAGAUAGAGAAUAUCCGGAUCUUUGCCAGCUAUCCGAUCUCAACGAACAAACCCUUCUAGCCAAUCUUCGCGAACGAUUUGUAGCUGGCCACAUUUAUACUUAUGUAGGCUCAAUUUUAAUUGCGUUAAACCCUUUUAAGUUCUAUCCCAUUUAUAAUCCGAAAUACGUUAAGUUGUAUCAAAAUCGACGACUAGGCCCGAACUUGCCUCCCCAUAUCUUUGCCGUUGCCGAUACUGCAUAUCAUUGCAUGUUAAAGGACAGGAAGAAUCAAUGUAUAGUUAUUAGUGGGGAAAGCGGUUCCGGAAAGACCGAAAGUACAAAUUUUUUAUUACAUCAUUUGACUGCACUCAGUCAGAAAGGAUCACAUGGUAGCGGUGUUGAACAAACUAUACUUAGUGCUGGACCCGUACUGGAAGCAUUUGGAAAUGCAAAAACUGCACAUAAUAACAAUUCAAGUCGCUUUGGGAAAUUUAUUCAAGUGAAUUACAAAGAAAAUGGAAUGGUUCAUGGAGCAGUAGUUCAAAAGUACCUUCUCGAAAAAUCACGAAUUUGUUCUCAAGGGCGCUAUGAACGAAAUUAUCAUGUAUUUUAUUACCUGUUAGAAGGAGCCAACGAACAAGAAAAGCUGCAGCUUCACCUCAUGACCCCUGACAAAUAUUACUAUUUGAACAAGUCAUGUGCUGCUCUUGACAAUGUGGACGAAAGUUAUGAAUUUUCUAGACUGAAACAGUCGAUGGAAAUGGUUGGUUUCACGCCGGAAAAACAGCGUCGGCUUUUUUCGGUCUUGUCUGCCGUUUUGCUUCUGGGUAAUGUGGAAUUUCAUCCGCGAAAAUCGGCGUACCAUCACGACGAAUCCGUUGGAGUUAAGAAUCCGGACGUAGUAGCCCUGAUUUCUGAAUUACUUAGAGUUAAACAGGAGACUUUAAUGCAAGCUCUAAUAGCAAAGAGAGCGAGAGCUUCAGGCGAAACUUUAGUAAUCAAUUACAGGUUACCGGAGGCGAUAGCAAGUAGAGACGCCAUGGCCAAGUGUUUAUAUGGAGCGCUCUUUGACUGGAUAGUCUUGCAAGUAAACCAUGCACUAUUCUCGAAAAAAGAUACUCUAAGAGAGCACCAAGGGAACUCCAUAGGUGUUCUGGACAUUUUUGGUUUCGAAGACUUUGGCCCGAACAACAGUUUCGAACAAUUGUGUAUUAACUACGCCAAUGAACAUUUACAAUACUACUUUAAUCAACACGUAUUUAAAUACGAACAAGAAGAGUAUCGCAAAGAAGGAAUCCGUUGGACCAAUAUCGACUUUAUGGAUAACACAGGUUGUUUGCAGUUAAUAGAGGCAAAACCCAAUGGAUUAUUAUGCCUUUUAGAUGAUCAAUGCAACUUUCCCGGAGCUACAAAUGAAACAUUGCUGCAGAAAUUUAACACUGUGCACAAGGACAACACGUUCUAUAAGAAGCCACAGAAAAAAGAAGCAGCAUUUAUAGUCGAACAUUACGCCGGGAAAGUGAAAUAUCAGGUAACGGAUAUGCGAGAGAAAAACCUGGAUCUAAUGAGGCAGGAUAUUGUUGGGGUACUUAAGAACAGUUCGAUGGCAUUCGUUAGGGAAUUAGUCGGUGUGGAUCCAGUAGCGGUUUUCCGAUGGGCCAUCGUGAGGGCUUUUUUCAGAGCACAAUUUGCCUUUCGGGAUGCUGGUAAACGACACCGUCAAGGCAGAGUAGACGGCAAUCGCAAUAAUAUUCAACAGCGAUACAGAGGAAUUCAUGUUCCCAACGAUAAUAUUAUAAGCAAACAUCGACACACCACAUCCUCUUUUCACCGAUCAAAUGAUGAACCGACAACGAAUCGCCUAUCUUGGCCGCAAUUUUAUCAACGAAACAGAUCGAAUUUGUCAACAACGAAAACUAAUGACGAUGAUCGGCAGCGUAGGGAAUCGUCUACCUCCCAAGCCUCGUACACUUUAGAAAAGGUCCUUUGCCCAGAUGAAGCCAGGGUAAUUCAACGGGCUAAUCAAAUUGUGAUGAAGAACAAGUCAUUUCGACCACGAGAGCGCGGAAAGAAGGGAUUGAAAAACCUACAGUCUGUUAAGACACUGGCCGGCAGAACUGGAAUUACAGCGAUGAAUCAGAGCCAGUUAAAUAAAGCGAGGAAACAGCCUAUGACAGUUGCAGCUCAAUUUCAACAAAGCCUUCAUUCGUUAAUGGAUACAUUAAAUCAAGCUAAUCCAUUUUUUAUUAGAUGCAUCAAAUCAAACGGGAAUAAAAUUCCAAACACUUUUGAUGCUGAUACUGUGCAAAGACAGUUAAGAUACACUGGUAUGUUAGAGACUGUAAGGAUAAGACAGGCAGGGUUCAAUGUAAGACUGACUUACGAUGAGUUUAUUCAGUUGUAUCGAAUAUUGCUCCCAAAAGGUCUUUUAAGUUCGCAAGUGGAUGUGAGAAAUUUCUUAGCUACCUUAAACUUGAACCGAGAUGAUUAUCAAUUAGGUACUUCAAAAGUUUUCAUGAGAGAGUCUGAAAAGUAUAAAUUAGACUGUAAAUUACAUCAACAAAUUAUGGCAAGCAUUAUAUCUCUUCAAAGAUGGUUUCGUGCGUGCUUGGAGCGACGCAAGUUUUUACGAAUGAAGUCAGCGGUAGUUUUGCUGCAAUCCUAUUGUCGAAUGUAUCUAGUUCAGAAACACGUAAGACUGUUAAUGGCGGCAGUAAAAAUUCAGAAAUCAUGGAGAAGUUACAAGGCUAGAGAAUGGUAUAAAAAGUUGAAAGUUGGUUUGGUGUUUUUUCAAGCACAUUGCAGAGGGUUUAAGCUUCGUCAAAGAAUUGCCAUGGGUCAUUAUGCAAAGAAUAAACAGGCGGUUAAGGCAGACCUUCCCCAACUGGAAGCGAAAAAUGAUGCGGUUAUUACGAAAGUUACUACUAAAGACAAUCAGGAACUGCCACAAUUGGAAGCUGUUAUAAUUGAGAAGAAGAUGCCCGAUUACGAACAGAGUAGCAUUGUUCACCAACAAGAUUUAGGAAAUUCAAAUCCCAAUAAAUUAGCUUUAAGAUCGACAGUUUCGUUGCCCAUGGUGUCGCAGACAGGUUCAUGUUAUUAUUCACCAUACUUGAACAGUUCAGCAAAUAUGAAUAGGUAUGAUGAUUUUGACCAAAGGAGGAAAAUUACAAAAUCGCAUCAAACAUUUGACUACUCGGAUCUGGAAUAUUCGGCGCAGAGAAAAGGUAGCGGGGAAUCUUUGGAUUCACAAAGAAGUUUCGAAUCUCAGCAAAGUACGGAUUCCCAUUUAAACAAUACUGUUAGGGAGGCGGCUAAGCCAGAACCGCCACAGCUCGGUAAACAGUGGUCUAGCACGAGUACAACCAGCGAAACUCUUUCAGAACCAGGCAUGGCACAUUCAGCUCCACCGCUGAUAUCCCAAAGAUUUAGUAAAUUUCAGUCAUCUGAGGAAAGUGACAGUUCAUCUUCCAAACCUCAGCUUGUAAGGUCACCGGCUGUUAGUUGGGCGGCACCAACUGUUAAACGUGAUAGCCGAUAUGUGAAUGACACAAUGAGGGGAUUGAGAAGUUUUCCAGUUAGACGUCCAAGCAAAGCAUUUGAAGAUAGGCCCGAUGUUUAUCCAUUUGACAAUAAACCAAACAAGUUAGAAGAGAUUUUAGGGCGACCAGAAGCACCAGCUAGAAAUACCCGGAAAACUAAACGAAAUCAUGUGAAGAGCUUAGGAGAGGAGGUGACAGAUUCAGGCAGUUUAGAUAAAGGCGUAUUAGGAACGAUAGACGAAAGGAAAGCGCAUACAGAGUUAAAUAGAUUAUCUGGCACUUUUGUUCCUCCAGAAGUACCGAGCAAACAGUCCUUGACUCCGAAACGGCAAAGGCAGAAUCUCACGCAGUUAGAUUUGCGAAGACGUAAUAGUGACCCUGCGACUAAAGUACUUAUUAACGAUUCAGGCAAUGAAACUAGUCCAGCUAUUAAAAGCAAUGAUAAGUGGAGUGAUUUUAAUAAUUUGGAUUUGGCGGGUCACUCCUUACGAAAAAUCAAUAGGGUUUCGAAAGAUGACGUAUGCUCAUUCUGCAAACAAAAAUUGGAUAUGUUCAUAACUCAAGGUUACAAGUGUACGUCUUGCAAAACCCUAUUUCAUACCAAAUGCAUUCAAAAUAAGGGCGUAUUUGAAAUUCCGUGCGAAUCACACAGACCUGGAAGCGAUCCAUCUAAACACAGUAGGAGAAAGCUGAGGAAGCAUUCCAGGGCACCGUAUGAUUUAAACAAAUCCGAAGAGGCAAAGUUUAGUCUUACGGGAACAUCAGAAUUUACCGAUAGAACUGAUCAGAUUAUCACAGGAGCGGAAGAAUUAAACUUAAUGCAAGCAUUUAUCGCUGAGAAAAUUAUGAAAAUAGAGAAUGACGGUGGAAAAUCAAGUGAAGUGGAUAAAGUGUUCAAGCAAGCGCUGAGGGAGUUUAAAAACAAUUUAGUCCAAAUUUAUAGUGCUGCAUCAAAACAUAACGGCAUAGAAGCGUGCAACAUUAGAUAUAAAGACCUCAUUAGUAUUUUUAAUCAGGCUAUGGAAACAGUAUGUCAACGUGAACUGAAGGAAAAUGAAACGAAAAAUUUCCCUAUAACUUUAGGUGUGAAUGCUUUCAGGGGUUUUAUGAAUGAAUUCAUGUCGACAAAAUCUGAAGAAAAGCCGAGCAAAGCGAAAAGGAAAAAGGAAAAGAAGCGGAAAGUGGAAAGUUACAAAUAUAAUGGACACACCUUUCUCCAGACAAUCAUUAAUAUUCAAACGGCUUGCGAAAUAUGCAAUUCGUUCUUUAUGUGGCCCAUCGAAAGAGGGCUCGUGUGCCAAAGUUGCAAACUUACUUGUCAUAAAAAGUGUUACGGUAAUUCCAGUACCUGCCAAAAAGAACCCGGACAGCCGGGUGAAAAUAAGAGAAUAUUCGGUGUUGCGUUAGUAACCCUUGUGACUGACGAAAACAAAAUUCCAUUAGUCAUAGAGAAACUUAUAUAUACGAUAGAAGUUAAGGGUUUAUAUACCGAAGGCAUUUACAGGAAAUCGGGCGUAAAAUCGAAAAUUACGGAGCUCAAAAAUCAAUUGGAUGAAAAUCCAGAAAGCUGUGAAUUUGAGAAGUAUCAGGUACAUGUGUUGGCAUCAGUUUUAAAGACUUUCCUGCGUGAAAUGUCUGAACCGCUACUUACGUUCGAAUAUUAUGAAAACUUUAUUACGGCGGCAAAUCUGGAAAACGACAACGAUAGGAUAACUACAUUAUACGAUAUUUUGAAAAAGUUGCCAUCUCCAAACUACGACUUGAUGGAGCGUCUAGUCUUUCACUUAGCACGAGUGGCUUUACAUGAGGAGACGAAUCGAAUGAGUUCAUCAUCAUUGGCUAUUGUAUUUGCUCCUUGUGUUUUGAGAACCAAUAAACGCGUACCUGCUCAAGAAAGCUUACAUGAUAUUACCAGUCAGACUCGCUGCAUUGAAACCAUUAUCAAGGUCCAGCUCAAGAAACUACGACUAACACUAGACGAUAUAGAUACUCUAGACACAGCUUGUCAAGCGGCGUCGAAUCGAUUGUCUUCACUGCGAAGUUCAAAGGUAUUUAGCCCGGACGAGUUGCUGCCCAGCAGCCAACCAUCCGAGCAACAAACAGAUGACGAAGAACAUCUUCUAGUGGAUCAUAUACAGGAGAUUCAGAAGGAAAAAGAACAUUUGACCUCAAACUUGCCUACUUUAAGUCACGCCACAUCAGAUGACGAUAUGCUAUCGACCGAUGGAGAUGGCAGUUUAGAUGACCUUACUUGCUUAGGUGGUGAGAAGAACAAGGCUAAACCUGUAGUGAGAUCAAUAUCGUCUGGAGACUCGAAACAGAAUAUUCUUCCGAAAAUCAAGUGGCAAUCUUCUUCAGACGCCAGUGGAAAAUUGGUGGAGGACUGUGAUGUAAUGGUAUAAGAUACAUACAACACACCAGUUGAUAUUGUUCUCAUUCAAUACUUGUGUUGUACAUGAAGUAAGUAUAAACGAUUUCGUUACAUUUAUUCAGUUAAAAAUAGGAUGAAACAUAACAGAACUAGCAUUGUCGAAGUAAGGGAUAUAUUAUGGACACAUUAUGGAUAUAUUUAAUAACUAAUUUGAAUAAGCCGAUGAGUGAUCCAAGUGGUUUUUGUGUUAAUACUGUUAAAUCUUAUAGUAAUAAAAUAACUGAGUAGUUACAAUGCAACAACUACUGCUUCAACAAUGCAUAUUUGUCGUCCAAUCUUUGAAUACUUUAUGAACCCGAUCGCAUGGUGUUAAAAUCAAAAUUUAAUGGUUCUCAAUUUUUUGUGAUUGUAUAAAGUAUAAAUAGUGUCUGAACAGAUGUACAUAUAAUGGCGACUGUGUAUCUUAGCAGAUCAAAUUUAUAUUUUAAAAUCAUUGUACCAUAGGCUGUUUUUUUUUUUGUAUAUGAACUCUAGCACAUUUGCUUUUUUAAUUUAGUAAUUUUUUUCUUAAUUGCAAUCAGAUGUUAUGAUAAAAGCCGCCUAAACCAUGACAGUUAAAGUAUUAUUUUACAUCGCGAUUGUGAUUUGAUGGUGUAUGGAUAUUUUACUUACUGUUUAGAAAAUAGUGCCAUGCAGUUACGCUUAUUGCUAAAUUUAUUGUUUUUUAUGUUAGCUCUCAUUUAAUCUAUGUGUUAAAAAUCCUUUUAACUACCACUACUAAUGGUAAUAGUAUGUACAUUAUAAUAUGUAUAUAGUGUAUUUUUCUCUUUCCAGAAGUCUAUUAAUUUAUCCGUUUUCAAGUGUGUCUUCUGAUAUGCAUUAUUAUAGACAAUUCAAAGGAUCUAGAACCCCUAUUUACUAUUCCACUACUUGGUGGCAGAAAUAAUCACGUUUAAGUUCCAACUUACUAAUUACUAACAUUGAAAUUGCAUGACUAAGUUUAAAUGUUGAGAUGAAACUCAUAAAACUGCAAUAAGAAGUCGAUAAUUCGAGCGAUUAUCUGAAAACGUUGCAAUACUAGAAAGGACAUUUACGUCUUUACUUAUACUUCUGGAGUCCAAGUAUGCAUCAACAUUUUUGAUUUAGGCAAUCCUACGACAAGAACAGGACAAAACUGAAUUAUGAAAUUAUUUCAGCAACCAAUGUUACAAUUAGCAGAAAGUUAAAAUUUAUAUGUGAACAUAAAUGUGUUUUUUUUGUUUGUACUCUAUAUUUGCACUUUCCACCUUCACCUAUUUUUCAGACAUAAAUGUUUACCUUUUUAAGUGGUGGCUAUUAAAAUUUCCUAUUAAUGCUAUGUUGAUUUCGUGCGCAUAUUAAUAAGUUCAAGCGGAUCUUCACUGGAUUUGUUACGACCACAUAAAAAAUUAUAAAAAAAUGUAAACAUUGUUUUCUGUUUUACCAACAUUUAUUGCUUAUAUUAAUGCUUAUAUUAUUACUUUUUUCAUUACAUAUUUUUUCUGUCGUACCAUUGCCAUAUCUAAGCACUACUUGUCAUUCGUAUUCAGUAUUUAUCAAUUAUAUUAAACCGCUAAAUAACAUAAUUUAGAUGAAUUUUCUCCCCAAGUGUUUGCUCAAAUAUUUUGGACAUAGAAAUGCACGAACUGGUUUGCUCAAUAAAGUAAUAUGAUGGUGACAGAUAGAUCAUUGUAUUUGUUAUAUUUUGUGUUAUUUGCUGCAUGGCUUGUCUCAUUUCGCCGUCUAAGUAUGAGAGUAAAUUAAAAAAGCCAAUGCUUAAAUCUUUCGCAAAAUUAAAAAUCAAGUGUCACGUGGUUCGUUAAUAAUAAUAUAAUUCUAUCUAUGAAGCGGCUUGUGCCUAAUUUUGCUUUUAAAAUAAAACCUCCCCACAUUUCCAGGUCUAAGACUUUUCAAUCUCUUUCAUAUAUGUAUAACACUUAAUGUAAGUUAAUUUGUACACAUUCAUUAUGGAUGGUUUGGUUGCAAGAAGUCCAGAUUUGAUCGUUUUUUUUAACUGUAUGGUUUCUUGUAUAUAUGUAAUUAUCUUUAAUCUAUAUUGUUAAAAAGCAAUUAAUUGUUUAUCCGAAAAAUGUGAUUUAAAGGUGCGUAAUGUUUAAAUCUUAGUCAUAAAUAUUAUCUGAUAUGUUAUUUGAAAGUGAUUUUAGGAGUACAUUUGAUUUUAAUCCAACUUUAGCGAAGAUGUAAUUCCAGAGUAGAUUUGAGUUCACUAAUUCUUGUUUGUUAAUGUUCUAUAUUCGUUUCCAUUAAUAUAAAAAAGUUAGAAAUAUAAACUGAAAGUUAUUCAGAACCAAUAAUUAUGUUUCCAAAUGGAAACAUUUUGAAAGGUAUCAUUUUGAUGCUAAAUAUUCAUGAUAAACUGCUGGACCAAAAACAUGUUUUUUUAUUAAUUGCUUGCCGGUAGAUUUAAAAGCAGUAACUACAGGCAAACACCCAAAAUUUAUAUGACAAAGUUGAGUUGUGGACUUAACCGCAGUAUAGAUAGAUGCAAGCCGAAUACGCAUACAAAAAUCAGGGACAACAAUUUUUUGAACAAAAUGAGCAAAUAAAUUUUAUAAUCAUAAUAUCUCGUCUUGAUAAAACAUAUUUAUUAUACUAACAAUGUUGACCACGGGUUAGCUUUCAUGAUUGCUACCCAAAACGUUCUUCUUCUUUACUCAAAUGGCGCAGCUCCUCUGGGCUAUUUGCCAGCUCAUUACCCAAAACGUUAAAUCACAGUUAAUACACUUCUAGUGACUGCUUUUAAAUUUACAGUUGCUUUGUAAAGUGGUUAAUAUGCUUUUUCAGCCUGUUUUAUGAUAAUUCCUAUAAUAUGCAUAUAUAUUUAAUUACAUUUAGACGGAAGUAAACAAUAUUUGGGUCUAUUUAUUUUGCUCUCAAUAUGAAACUGUUCGUAUAUCUAUGUUUUUUAAUUAAAAUACAUACUUACUUUUUGAAAUAUUUAACUUAAUAAACAAAAUGCUCGCUCAAGUAAAAAGGCUCUUCUGCGUCACAAUUGCUCUUAAAUAAGAUUGGUAUCGUGUGCAAAAUAAAUAAACCUGAAUAUGAGUGGACGUUCAAUAAAAUACUCAGUCUUUUUAUAUCGUCUACUUUUAAGGUAACAAUAUCCUAAGUAGUUUAAAAGCGCAAUAAAUUUGUCGAGAUAUUUA